GGUCAGGGCCCGUGCGAAUAGGCCGCGCCCAACCCCGCCAGGUUCGGAAGGAAGCAACGGUAAGCGAGGGCUUGUUGCGCCGCGGUCCCCCUGGCCAUG
rnacentral:SRP_RNA from 1 species